AGGAAAAAUUUUUCAGAAAUAAACUUUAUUGCUUUCUAAAACAAGUGGACAGUAAGAAACAACAUAGAGUUUUCAGAACUUCCAAAAGAUUAUCGUAUAAUAAUUUGACAUAAAAAUAUUCAGAUCAUAAAAUGAAAAAAAAGGUAUUACAAUUAUUACAUUUAAGUAAUAUCCAAUAUUCAAAUAAAACUAUAAAAUAAUUAUCACAGCUGAAUCGAAAACAAAAUGUUGCUAUGGCUUGCGAUGAACUAAAAGUUUUGAAAUGAAAAAUGUGUAUAGGGUUGUGACAUGAAACUCGAUGAGAAAAUGUUGAGACUAGAUCAGAUCACUACACAUUAGACAGUUAUGUACAUGCUCUAUCAACACAGUUCUGUCCAAACUAACAACACAGUUCUGUCCAAACUAACAACACAUGUAGUGCUAAAUCUAUUCUUUAAUCUAACCGUAAACACACACACUUCACUGACAUCUGCAC